UACGAAGGGGGGCUAGCGUUGCUCGGAAUCACUGGGCGUAAAGCGCACGUAGGCGGCUUCUUAAGUCAGGGGUGAAAUCCUGGAGCUCAACUCCAGAACUGCCUUUGAUACUGAGAAGCUUGAGUCCGGGAGAGGUGAGUGGAACUGCGAGUGUAGAGGUGAAAUUCGUAGAUAUUCGCAAGAACACCAGUGGCGAAGGCGGCUCACUGGCCGGUAACUGACGCUGAGGUGCGAAAGCGUGGG
rnacentral:rRNA from 1 species